AUGAACGCUGGCGGCGUGCCUAAUACAUGCCAGUAGAACGCUGAAGGCAGGAGCUUGCUCUUUCCGGAUGAGUUGCGAACGGGUGAGUAACGCGUAGGUAACCUGCCUGGUAGCGGGGGAUAACUAUUGGAAACGAUAGCUAAUACCGCAUAACAGUAGAUGUUGCAUGAUAUCUACUUAAAAGGUGCAAUUGCACCACUACCAGAUGGACCUGCGUUGUAUUAGCUAGUUGGUGAGGUAACGGCUCACCAAGGCGACGAUACAUAGCCGACCUGAGAGGGUGAUCGGCCACACUGGGACUGAGACACGGCCCAGACUCCUACGGGAGGCAGCAGUAGGGAAUCUUCGGCAAUGGACGGAAGUCUGACCGAGCAACGCCGCGUGAGUGAAGAAGGUUUUCGGAUCGUAAAGCUCUGUUGUAAGAGAAGAACGAGUGUGAGAGUGGAAAGUUCACACUGUGACGGUAUCUUACCAGAAAGGGACGGCUAACUACGUG
rnacentral:rRNA from 1 species